AUUGAACGCUGGCGGCAUGCUUUACACAUGCAAGUCGAACGGCAGCGCGGGCUUCGGCCUGGCGGCGAGUGGCGAACGGGUGAGUAAUGCAUCGGAACGUGCCCAGUAGUGGGGGAUAGCCCGGCGACAGCCGGAUUAAUACCGCAUACGACCUGAGGGUGAAAGCGGGUGACCGAAAGGCCUUGCGCCAUUGGAGCGGCCGAUGUCGGAUUAGCUAGUUGGUGGGGUAAAGGCUUACCAAGGCGACGAUCCGUAGCUGGUCUGAGAGGACGACCAGCCACACUGGGACUGAGACACGGCCCAGACUCCUACGGGAGGCAGCAGUGGGGAAUUUUGGACAAUGGGGGCAACCCUGAUCCAGCCAUGCCGCGUGCGGGAAGAAGGCCUUCGGGUUGUAAACCGCUUUUGUUGGGGAAGAAAACCUCUGGGCUAAUACCCCGGGGGGAUGACGGUACCGAAAGAAUAAGCACCGGCUAACUACGUG
rnacentral:rRNA from 1 species